UGAUGCCCAAUAUGGGGUUCUAUUAAGAGGGCUUCAGUGAAGAAUGCCCCAGAAUUUCUGUUCAGCUGAUUUUGUGUGGAAGACUUCCUCCACUCGAGCCUGUUGCCUUGAUUAGGGAUCUUGGUGGGUCCAUGGUGAUCAUGGGACUGGCACUUAGUAGCCACUAACUCUUUGUGGAAGGUUUGAAAAAGGCUUUAAAGGUGCGAGGGAUAAAGGUUAAAAAUACAUAACUUACCUGCAUUUUUGAUUUUGUAAAAGAGAUUUGUCCAC
rfam:Mus musculus chromosome 15, GRC primary reference assembly.